UGAUUUAAAAAGAUGUGGCACGUCAUAUA
rnacentral:sRNA from 1 species